CGUGAGCAUUUGUGUAAGUGCCUGAAAUAAACCCAGGCCACUGUGGUCAUAACCGUACUGUCCCCUAUGCUGGCUAGCCAACAGGCAUGGUUCUAGGCACUUCACAAACACUUCUUGGGAUGUUAACUGUCAGAUAGUCAGUAAGGAUUUUCUGGCAAAAGCGGGCCAGAGAAUAGCUGCCCCUAAGAAACUCCGCUGAGCCGAAGCGCUCACCGCCCUUCUCUAAGCCGUGGGUACUGAGCCCAUAGCUGUUCCUUCCCCUGUGGCUAAGAUGUGAUUUGCUGGCGAGAAGACUGGACUCGGCAAAGGGCCUCAGGUCUGCCACUGCAGGCCGAUCGGCUGCGGGGACGCUUCUCUGCCGCUCUGAACCCCAGUUUGCUCCACCAGGUAUAAAGACAGAGGCCUCACCGAGUGCAAAGCGUGAAACGAGAUAAUCCGUGUGUAAGAGUUCAGAUCACGGUGCCAGGUUCACGGCAAGAACCCAAUACCCAGCUGGCAGAACAGCACCUUGUAAAUAGCAGAGGCAGGAGGCGCGGGUGGGAGCCCGGAAGCAGGGAGCCUGGAUUCUGGGAGGAGAUAGAAACUUCGCAGAAUAUGCUACCCCACCCCACGGCCCAGCACGCACCAGGUCUGAUGAGCUCUUGAAAUUGUCCUCUUCUAGGGGCCAGGCAUAUGCAUACACCUGCGGGCACUUUGUUCCAAGCCAGCCCCUCAGCUGGGGCUGAGGAAACCGAAAGGACCAGGCAGCAGGCUGUGAGUCCCGCAGGCACGCUGGCCCGCAUCCCCAUUAGACUGCGAGGUCCAAAGCCCCACUCGGCGCCAAUCCUUUCUGCAGGCAACGGCCAACCCCCCAAGUAGGAGAAUCAAUGGAUUUUUCUCCCCACCGAUACCUAAAUAGCUAUUUGAAUGUGUUCUGUAACAGGAGGAGCUGUUGAACAAAAGGUCAGGGCUGAUCUGAAGUCCGUCUUUCCAUCGGCAGUUGCUUUUAAACACGCAAUGCUCCAGCUCUGCGAGCCCCUGAAGAUAAAAAAAAUGAUAUAAAUGUACAAAUGACUUUAUGACUUUGAUUAUGCAACUUCUGAGAAAAUAGCCAUCUGAACCGUUAAGGAAGACUAAAGAUAUUGUGAUAAAGAAGACUCUUUGAAAUUCUGCUUUUUAAAAAAAAAAAAAAAAAAAAAUCUAUGUCAUGAGAUAUGAAUGUAGCCAAAGCCUUGAUAAAAGUCGUGUCAGCCUUUUGCCACAGAAGCUGCCGAAGCAUGAAAGAGACCACGGGCCUGGAGAUCUUUGCUGCCUUUAAAGUCUGGCUUAUUAACAUGCAUUAGAGUCUUCCUGAAGAUGGGUCUGGCCAAAGGUUAUCAACGGAAACUUAAUUUAAUGAGCCCAGAACACAGGGAGAGGAGCCCUGUAAAGCCAACACCGAGAGGAAUUUGGGGCAAGGGCAUUUCAUUUUCUGAAGAGGAGAAACAAAGAUAAACUCAUUAAAGCGCAAGAAACGGCAGGUGGAAGGUGAAGGGAAUGGCCUUGGGACUGCAAGCUGUGCCCACCCUCUCGUAAGAAGAAUGCCCUUGGAAAAGUCCCCAGCUUUACUUAAGCCCUGGCUUGCUGAUUUUUAGCCGAAUAAGAGUAAUAUCUGUGUCACAAGGCUUUGGUGAGCAUCAAAUGAGAUAAUAGAUGUGCAAGCAUCCUGCAAAUGCAACAACUCUAAAAGGGUCAUAUCCUGCCCUUACUUUACCAAUGGAGAAUCUAAGGAACACAAUACUUCAGUAACUUGCGAAGAGUCACAUGGUCAGUAAGUAGCAGAACCAGGCUUCGAACCCAGAUCUGACUGCAGGGACAAUGCUCUGAACCGGAUGCUACCCCACCUUCUCUCUCCUGCCGUGUUAUUAAAUCAGACUUUUUCUAAAAAGAGAAUAAGACUCCACUGUUUCACGACCUACUUGGAAACAGAGUAUGGCCCAGAUAGAGGAUGGACUGUGUCUUUCUUCUUCCUCAGGGCCAAGAAACUGUCUGCAAUAAUCUGGAGGCCCGUGAGCCACAUGACAACCGUAGGUGAACUAGGGUUCAAAAGGUAACUAGAGUUUGCUAGACUUGUGAACUGAGUUUGGAGUCCUGGAGUCACCGAUAUGGUAAUGCAAAGGCAAAAAAGAUAGUCACUGAAGAGGAUGACUUAAUGAACCCAAGUGAAGAAUUGGCUACAUUAAAUGAAGGAAAACUAAUUCGGAGGUCACUAACUCUGCAUGGGGGUGGGAGACGAAAAAUCAGAACUCUUUUUAUAAGAUUGGGAAUUCACAAAUAGUCUCUGCUGUGAUUGGAGAGAGAGAAUGUAUUUCGGGCGAUAAAAGUAGGAAGAGGUCAAUAAACAUUUCUGAAAGCACAGAUGACCAGUUGAAAAGACUAUCUUACGAAAAUGAAUCUAUUACUGAAGUGCUGGACCAACAAAGGAAAGUAGAGGUUGAAGUCAAGGCCGUAGGGAUUCAGCAAACUGUUGCUAAAGUAACAAUCCAUUACGAGGCUAUUGUAACACAAGAAACCUUGAAAAGGAUGAUUGAUAAAAACACUUGGAGUGGAUAUAGAGGAGGACAAAAAAUUUGUGUGGAGGUGUAUAGCCUAGAUUACUUAUAGAAGACUGGUAUCAUCAGUAAAAAAUAGAAAAACACAAAUAUUCAGUUAGGAGAAAAGUUAACGACAGUAGUGGCUACCAUUUUUUCAAUGAAAUAUCACUGUGCCAAUCACUGUAUGACUCUUCAGACCCUAUGUGAGUCUUCACAAACAUACUGUGCUCUAGGCAAUUGUUGUUCUCUUCUACAAUAAUAAAAAAAAAAGUCUCAGGUUAAGUUAUUUGCCUAAAGUCACAUAGGUAGCAAGAGAUGGUCCCAAAAUAAUGAGAUGAGUCUUAAACAUUUUGAGAUGUCGACAGAGUAUUACAAAAGAAAUACUGAAAUACAAUUUGGAAAAUGGGGUAGGAAGAAAAUUAACUGGAGGUAUCAUUGUAAUGAUUUGUUGCCUGAAGGGACCACUACGACCUGUGCCUUAAUGGCACCAAGGUGAGGGUGUGAGGCUGGAAACGCAAAU